UGUGGUGUGUGGUGUGGGGAGUGUGGGGGUGUUGUGUGUAGUGUGUGGUGUUUGUAUGGUGUGGGUUGUGUGUGUGUGUGUGUGGUGUGUGGUGUGUGUGUGGUGUGUGUGUGGUGUGUGGCAUGUGUGUGGUGUCUGUGUGUGGUGUGUGUGGCGUGUGUGUGGUGGGGUGUGGGGGGGUGUGGGGAGUGGUGUGUGUGUAGGGUGUGUGGUGUGUGUUUGGUGUGUGUGGUGUUUGGGUGUGUGGUGUGUGUGUGGUGUGUUGGUGUGUGGUGUAUGGUGUGUGUGUGUGGUGUGUGGUGUUUGUGUGUGGUGUGUAUAUAU
rnacentral:lncRNA from 1 species